rnacentral:rRNA from 1 species
GACGAACGCUGGCGGCGUGCUUAACACAUGCAAGUCGAACGGAAAGGCCCUUCGGGGUACUCGAGUGGCGAACGGGUGAGUAACACGUGGGUGAUCUGCCCUGCACUUUGGGAUAAGCCUGGGAAACUGGGUCUAAUACCGAAUAGGACCACGCGCUUCAUGGUGUGUGGUGGAAAGCUUUUGCGGUGUGGGAUGGGCCCGCGGCCUAUCAUCUUGUUGGUGGGGUAAUGGCCUACCAAGGCGACGACGGGUAGCCGGCCUGAGAGGGUGACCGGCCACACUGGGACUGAGAGACGACCCUAUCUCCGACGGGAGGGAGCAGUAGGGAAUAUUGGACAAUGGGCGCAAGCCUGAUGCAGCGACGCCGCGUGAGGGAUGACGGCCUUCGGGUUGUAAACGUCUUUCGAUAGGGACGAAGCGCGAGUGACGGUACCUGUAGAAGUAGCACCGACCAACUACGAG